GGUUGGUUUUGUGGGUAAAAUCAACCCUACUUACUGUCUUCUCCUUCUUCCACUUUAUAAAGCUGGUUUUCUCUUGCAGAUUUGUGCUGGAGUGGUCCAUGAAAGCCUUCUGUAUGGGCCUCUCUCCUCUCUCUCUCGGUGCUACAUCAAGAGAGAGAAAGAGAGAGAGAGAGGGCGUGUGCGUGUGUGGCCGUGGGCGUGGAACUUUGUGAACAGAAGCUAGAAGAUUGAAGGGAAUGUGAGAUCUGAGGAGGUGAAAGUGAGUGCAGCUUGGAAAUUUCAAGUCCUGUCAUGCUUUUCCACAGCUUUCUUGAACUUCUUAUCUCCCAGUCUUUUGAUCUCUCUCUCUCUCUCUCUCUCUCUCUCUCUCUCUCUCUCACACACACACACACACACACACACACUCACUCACUCACUCACUCACACACAGCCACACAGACAAACACAGACACACAGACACACAGACACACACGCAAGAUUGAAAAAAACAUCAUUAGAAGCUCAAGAAAGCUGUGGGAAAACAUGGCAAAUUCAGGAUUUUUUUUUCAAGCCAUUGGGUUGCAAAGGAGAGCAAACUAUCUCAAUAUUGUUCUACACAUGUUGUGAAACUCAGCAGCUUCAGAUCUCUUUUCAUCUUUAUGGCUGCAACAUCACUUCAUUGGAUCUGAAUUCAUGAACCCUUCAAGAGAAAGUUGAAGGGCUCAGAAGAAAUGUCAGGCCACAGCACGUUUCUCUCUCUCAUUCGCCAUACGCGUUUUUAGCCGGAGAGAGAGAAAGAGAUUGAGAGCAGACGUGUCAAGUUGGAAUGGUUGUUGAGUGUUGAAUCGCGCCUGAUGCUCUCAGCAGGUGUAUAUUCUUGCUCCAAAUUCAGUGCAUCCCUGCAGAGGUAAUCCUAGUUUUCAGAUUCAAUAAAUGUUUAAAACAUAGUAAAGUUCUAUUUUUCGUUUUUAUUUCAUUUAAAGGGUUGAAAAACCGAUUAGGCCAUUUUAAUAUACGAUUUUGCUUCUGAAAAUACUGAAAUGCAUUUUCAGCUAUAUUUUCAAGCAAUCAUGGUAAACCACACUGGCCAAAGAUAUACAUUUUUAAGAAGCUGCCAUCUCUUGGCCAUUAACAAAAAGCUUUCAAUACUUAAAAGGGUCCAAAUGGUUUCAACACACCAUGAAGCUUGCAAAUAUCUCUAGUUUAAAUGCCAUUGAGAUGUUUUCCAGGCAACAUUAGCCUAGAGAACUAUAAGAUGCAAAGAUGACUUUUGGUUCUCCAGUUUUUUUUUUUUUUUUUUUUUAAAAUAGUGAACAGAUUUGCGACUGUUGUGACCAGCCUUUGUUAAUACCACAUUGUGCAUACAUGCUGUGUCAAUAUGGUUCCAUCUACCACACAUUGAAAGCUCAGAAAGUUAAUAUGUUUUGUGGCAAAUAUUCAUUUCCUAGUUGUGACUAUGAUUAUAGUGAGUAUGUAUGAUACUACAUGUACUCUUUAACAAUUUUUUAUAGGUUUUUAGUAGAAGUGGAUAGAUGGGCUCUUUGAAUAAGCUCAGUUACAUUGUAUUUAUGAUUUGAUAUGGGAGGAAAAAGUGAUCAAUUCACCAGGUCAAGGCCAUCCUUCUCUGGUCGCUAAGUCUGAAAUCAAGUCAAUAAGAAAACAAAGUUUUCAAUACGCAAUGCAUAAAUUUUUGCCAAUAUCAUACCUAAACAGAGUCCUAUGAACAAGCAUUUCAUUGUGGCAAACGAAAAUACUUGGAAAUAUUUUGUUAUUUAGAUUGGACCUUAUUGAAGAUAUUGCCUUAAUUAUUAACAGAAGAUAACAGCAUACAGAUGAUAAAGCUGAUCUCACUUAGUUCAGAAAGGCUUAAUGUUGCUCCCGUUGUCAUUGCAUCUAAUAGACCUGUAUUCUGCCUGUCAAUGAAGGGAGAUGACAAGGAGUUGAGAGUCCGAAAAAUGACCGAAAAACUAGCAGCCAGGUUUUGCAGCCGAAUAAGAUCAAAAGUAACCCAAACCAAAUAUAGGGAUAAAAUGAGAAAAGGUCAGGCUCAGAAAUAUUGUCGUCGCCGGAGAUAAAGGACACGCGACAUGUUCCUCACUUUAAUAAUUGGGGGAUGAAGUAGUGCACCCUUUUACAAGUGGGCGGGGGACCUAAAAGGUGAAGUAAGUAUCCGAUCCAUUUCAAUUUUAUCAUCACUGACGCAUCUUUUGUGCAGUUCUUCAGAAGAUACAAACAUUUCAAUGCUAGUAUAUGUACUGAACAGCCACACUACCAUUUCAGAGCUAAAUCACAAAAUCUAGUUCCGUAUGCGAUUGGGUUGAAAAGGAAGCAUAUGUAAUCUAAUUCAUAACCUAGACUUUUCUCCAUGCAAACUUUUUGUUACAAGAAAAAGAAUUGAGGGAGCGCUACGCUUUACCAGACAUGCCUACAAGCGUUUAGUA